rnacentral:rRNA from 1 species
AUUCCAGCUCCAAUAGCGUAUAUUAAAGUUGUUGCAGUUAAAAAGCUCGUAGUUGAAUUUUGGACCUGGUUGAAUGGUCCCGCCGCAAGGUGGGUACUGUUUGAUUGGGUCUUUCUUUGCGGGGAAUUAGUGAGCUCUUAAUUGGGUGCAUUAAGGAUCCGUAACUUUUACUUUGAAAAAAUUAGAGUGUUUAAAGCAGGCUUAGGCCUGAAUACAUUAGCAUGGAAUAAUAGAAUAGGACCUGUGUUCUAUUUUGUUGGUUUCUAGGACGUAGGUAAUGAUUAAUAGGGACAGUUGGGGGCAUUAGUAUUUAAGUGUCAGAGGUGAAAUUCUUGGAUUGCUUAAAGACUAACUUCUGCGAAAGCAUUUGCCAAGGAUGUUUUCAUCA